CCUACGGGUGGCAGCAGUGAGGAAUAUUGGUCAAUGGACGAGAGUCUGAACCAGCCAAGUAGCGUGAAGGAUGACUGCCCUAUGGGUUGUAAACUUCUUUUAUAUGGGAAUAAAACGUUCCACGUGUGGGAUUUUGUAUGUACCAUAUGAAUAAGGAUCGGCUAACUCCGUGCCAGCAGCCGCGGUAAUACGGAGGUUCCGAGCGUUAUCCGGAUUUAUUGGGUUUAAAGGGAGCGUAGGUGGAUUGUUAAGUCAGUUGUGAAAGUUUGCGGCUCAACCGUAAAAUUGCAGUUGAAACUGGCAGUCUUGAGUACAGUAGAGGUGGGCGGAAUUCGUGGGGUAGCGGUGAAAUGCUUAGAUAUCACGAAGAACUCCGAUUGCGAAGGCAGUUCACUGGACUGCAACUGACACUGAGGCUCGAAAGUGUGGGUAUCAAACAGGAUUAGAUACCCCAGUAGUC
rnacentral:rRNA from 1 species